rnacentral:miRNA from 1 species
ACCACAUUUAUAAACUACCUUGUGUACCACCACUCCACUUCUAUUAGAGAGGUGCUAUACAAGGUAAUCUAUAAAUGUGGU